AUGGGGGACGCCGCCUCCAACCAUCCCGUUCUUGCUCAGUCGAGCUCCGACGCCGGCCGCGGCGCCGCGACCGGUGGGUUCAUCUCCCUCGACGUGGCCGCCCUCUCGUCGCUCGCCGGCGACGGCCCGGAAACGACGCCGGCAGCGCCGCCGGCCUCGACCCCGAGGACACCUAGGGUGGUGAGGUCGCUCUCGCGGAAGGGGUCAGAAAGGAAGCAGGCCGACGGCGACGCCGCCACUGGCACCAUAGGAGGCGGGGUAGGGACGGGCGAGAGGCCGCCGCUGUCCCCGCUCUUGGUCCAUGUGGCGGCCGCCGACGAGAUGCUGAACGGGCACCGGCUGGUGAACACGCCGGGGGGCGCCGGCACGCCGGGAGGGAAGUCCAGGCGGCUGGGGCGGCGUCCGGCGCCGUGGCUGGAUCCCCGAAGGGUCGUCUUCCUCUUCGCCACGCUGUCCAGCGUGGGGACCUUGAUUCUGCUCUACUUCACCCUUUCCAUGAACAAGAUGGACAGCGCCGGAAGCAGCACGGGAGCCGACAGCGAUGCACGGUGA
rnacentral:rRNA from 1 species